rnacentral:rRNA from 1 species
UUGGAGGGCAAGUCUGGUGCCAGCAGCCGCGGUAAUUCCAGCUCCAAUAGCGUAUAUUAAAGUUGUUGCAGUUAAAAAGCUCGUAGUUGAAUUUCGGGGUCAGUAGGUUGGUCGUGCCUAUGGUAUGUACUGGCUUUACUGAUUCCUCCUUCUUGAAGAACUGUAAUGUCAUUAAUUUGGUGUUGCAGGGAAACAGGACUGUUACUUUGAAAAAAUUAGAGUGUUUAAAGCAGGCUAACGCUUGAAUACAUUAGCAUGGAAUAAUGAAAUAGGACGUUUGAUCCUAUUUUGUUGGUUUCUAGGAUUGACGUAAUGAUUAAUAGGGAUAGUUGGGGGCAUUAGUAUUCAAUUGUCAGAGGUGAAAUUCUUGGAUUUAUUGAAGACUAACUACUGCGAAAGCAUUUGCCAAGGAUGUUUUCAUUAAUCAAGAACGAAAGUUAGGGGAUCGAAGACGAUCAGAUACCGUCGUAGUCUUAACCAUAAACUAUGCCGACUAGGGAUCGGAUGAUGUUAAUUUUUUAAUGACUCAUUCGGCGCCUUACGGGAAAC